rnacentral:rRNA from 1 species
UACGGAGGAUCCGAGCGUUAUCCGGAUUUAUUGGGUUUAAAAGGUGCGCAGGCGGGAGAUUAAGUCGGCGGUGAAAUUUUGCAGCUCAACUGUAAAAGUGCCUUCGAAACUGGUUUCCUUGAGUGUAGAUGAAGUAGGCGGAAUUUGUGGUGUAGCGGUGAAAUGCAUAGAUAUCACGAGGAACUCCGAUUGCGCAGGCAGCUUACUAAACCAUAACUGACGCUCAGGCACGAAGGCGUGGGGAUCAAACAGGAUUAGAUACCCUGGUA